UCAUCCAGAGACUUCGAUCCAGUUCAUCCCCAAAUCGAUCCAGACCGCAUACGCCGCGAACCCUAGCCACAACCCCACCGCCGCUACCGCGCCCUCCACCACACCACCGCUGCCCCGCCUGCCCCAACCACUCCCCGCUGCUGCUGCAGACUCCGCCCUCCACACCCCACCGCUGCAGACUGCUGCCGCGGUCGACCCCACAUCACAGCGCCGUCGAGGACACGGACGACACCACCAGCGCCGGCCUUCCACGUCGCGGAGCCACUCCACUGGCGACCACCCCCCUUCUCCGCGAGCUUGGUCCACACCGAGCAGGCCUUCUCCAAAGCAUUGAGCGGGGCUGCCUCCUCUACGUCAUCUCCCCCGAGCAGCGGAGCGUCCUCCCUCCCGCGAGCGGCUCUGUCUCCUCAGUACCCUUCCCCUAGGCAGCCACGUCAUGUAUUUCCUUUCACCAGUGUCCUCUUCAAUAGGUGAGAUUUCAACUCUUGUCUCUUUUAACAUCUGAAUGUGCAGCUACACAUGUAUGUAAUCUCGAACAGUAGCACUUAACUAUUCUAGCAGUUAGAACAAAUCAUCGUUUUUAAUUAUGAUCUGAUAAUGACGAAAAAACCAUGAUCCAAACAUCUUCAAAGGUUAUUUGCAUUGUUUGCAAACGGAACUUGAAAAUAAAGAUAGAUGAACACUAGUACUAUUAGUAGCCCUUCAGAUCGAAGGAUGGGGAAGUAUGGUGAUUAACAAUGCAUACCUUAAUUAGACUCGUUGAAACCUAACUAAGUUGUUUAAUCGAGGUUUCUAGUUUAUUUGAAUUUGAGAUGAAAGAAAGCUAUUUUUUUACGUCUUCAGCCCACUUGUUUAGUCCACCUAGCUAAGUUGUUUAGUUGAUGCCCCAAAGUAGUAGCAUCUUUGCUUGUGUUUUGUAAAAUACGAUAUGUGGACAAACUAGGUGCUACACUUUUAUGAUAUAGAUGAUGACAUUCUUACUGCUAUUUUGGUUUUUGUAUAUUCUGAAUGAUAUGCUUCAGUUCAUUAUAUGGUUGUGUGAUGGCAUUCCUUCUCCGUAUUGUAUUUCUUGUUGCCUGUAAUAGAUAAAGAUGAUAUGCAUUUUGUUACUAGAUUUUUUUCCUUAAUAAAAGUAUACUUUGUUUCGCAUGUUAGGCUAUUUGGGUGAAAUUGGUCAAGAAUGGACAAGAGUUGGAUGGAUAAAGCUAGAAAUACACAAGCAUAUAUUGACGGGGUAAAGAAAUUCAUAGAUUUUGCUUUUACUCAUUCAGCAAGAGGGAACACUAUAUCAUGUCCGUGUAGAAAUUACCUCAUGGUGCUGGAACAUGACCACCACAGGGCAAGCUCAAGGGCGAUGUAUCUCAUAGCCAUACACAACCAUGUGAGCUUUUGUUCUUAUGAUUGAAUUUACCAAUGACUAUCAUGGAGUCAUGGUUGAUUGCUUAAAAAGCUUUCCUUCUAUGUGUGCAGUUGGAAGUGGAGAAGUCCAUGGCAAAAGCAGUAAUGCGACCACAAGCAAGCUGAGGAGGUAAUAUACAUGUUUCCCUCCACUCUGUACAUUAAUGAAGUUUACAAAAUGAGCAUUUGCAUGUGCACGAAAUCUUCCAUGGCAUUCCUGUAGACUCUUUACAAAUGUUUAACUCAAUGCAUUUUUUUGUUCUAUCUGAGCAUGUUCUGCCUAUUUGCACAUGAAAGAUUUUUGACUUGGAGCUAGAAUGCAGUGCUAGACUCUACUAUGUACAGUACAAUAUUUCAGUCUGCACCCUUGAUUUGGUCCUUCGAUUUGUAUGUUCUGUUGUGUAAUUGGUCCUCCUCUCAUUCUCACAGCAUGCCUCCUAUUCGUCCUCCGCAGCAGGCAGUGUUGUGUCGACUACGUCUGGAUAGCAACUCAUCUCCAUCCUCGCCCCAAGCAGUGUCGCCUCACCUCUACUUCCUCGCCUAAGCGGUACCGCCUAUGGUCUCCGCUUCACCGCCAAUGGUGAGAUUUCUUUGUUAUUUUUGUCAUUUAGCCAUUAGUAAUCUUGUAAUGGGCAUUGAUAUAGUGUUGAAAUUUUCUUGGUUACUCAGCUAUUUCAGAUGUAAAAAUGAUGUUAUAUAGGGUUGAAAUUGUGCGAUUAUUCUCAGGUGUUUGUUUUUGUUUCUUGAAGUCUGAUUUACUCAGCAAGGAAGGGAUGUGAUACUGUAUAAUGUUUAUCAGGAGCAUGGUAGCCCAGUGGCAAAAGCUUCUAUGUAUGCAGUUGGAAGUGGAUAAGUGUCAGGCUCUUCCUACAGGAUGUCUACUAGUUCAGUUCUAGUCAUAAACAAAGGUGAUAGUUGCUUGUACUUUGCUCAGUUACUUUGAUGUCAACAUUUGAGUUCUACAUAAUAUAGUUUUUUUUUAAAAAAAAAAAACUAUAUUAUGUAGAAUGAUAGAUUUUCCUUCCAUAUCAUGUAUAAUUGAUCCAUUUCUUUCCAUAACUAUAUCAUGUAUAAUGAUUGAUUUCUGUUUGUAGCAAUGCGACCACAAGCAAGCUUAUAAGAUGCAUUGAUUUCUGUUCUUUGUAGCCACCAGCCAUCUAUGAUCAAAGGCCACAUAUUCUGCUUUAAAUUGUUUAUCAAGUUUUGAGUUGCUAACCACAUAUGCCACGUGGUUACAUGCUCUGUCUUUAGGUAACACUCCCUCUGUUUAUGCAGUUAUGCUUUAUCUGAUUGGUUCAAAAUAAUUUGUAUUGGCAAUAACUCUCGGGUUUUUAAUAUAGUAUUUUUCUGUUAGUUUUCCAUAUCUCAAAAAUAGGGCAACAUGAUUUGUUAUUAUGUGCCGCUCUUCAAAAUUUGCGGGAGAUUCUUUUUUGUGAAUCUGGGUCUGUCUAGGACACAUCUAGAUGUGACAUAGUUAUGUCACAUCUAAGCCGAUGUCCACUCUGUUUGUGGUCCAUUUUUUUCCUAGUUUUUUUGUUUCUUGUUGUUGCAUUAUAUAUUUGCGGGAGCUUAGAUGUGACAUGCUUAAAAAACAUCUAGAUGUGAAUAAGACAAACUGAAUCUCAAAGGAUACACUAGCUAUUGUCUACUGGUACUAGAUAUGACAUUUGGCCUGCUUUCCUGAAUUAGUUGAGAUAUGGUAAUAUUUAUCUGCUUUAGUUCAGAUAAAGAUGUGUUUCAUGGGUUCUCUCACCUACUCAUAUCCAGGUUCCAGGUCCUAUUUCAUUACCUUAGAGUACUACUUGGCCAGCUAAUGCAUAUCCUAGCCUCUAGUAUGUAAACAAUACUUGAGCUAAUUGAGGAAGGCCUCUUGAGUAAUAUGGUUGAUCUAAUUAUGUAAUAAUGAUUGCUUGCUAUGAUGAAGUGUUACACAUUUAGAAGAUUUUUAUUUAUGUCGAUGAGUUAAACUGCAGCACAUCAAAAUCUUCAAUGUGUUAAUUUAAAAUCAAAUGAGAGCUCCAUUUGAGUUUCUGUUCUGUUGCAGGCUUCCCAAGGGUACAUAAGUUGAUGGAGUUGUGGAAGAUCUGCAAGCUGCUGGAGGUUUGGAAGACCUACAGUUAAUUUGGUCAAGUGAUAUAUGCCUCGUUUGCUGAACCCAGAGACAUUGGCAAGUUUUCCUAUGCUUAUUUGGUGGUUGUUUUGGUACACAAGCCAUUAUGUGCUCAUUUUGGUUGUGUGACGCAUAUAAAAACAUAUGUACUGAACCUUUUGUAGCACGAGCUCCUUGUAUAUGGUCGUUUCAUACAUGUAUCUAGAAACAUGUGUAUUUGGUCUGGCAUGUGUAAUUGAAUGAAGUUUAAGGUUGAUUGAAGUGUAUGUAUGUGCAAGUUGUGUGAUCUUUCCUGAUUGCCCGAGGACAAUGAAUGGAUAUUAAAUCAGGUAUAAGUUGCUCGAUGGAUGGAUAAUAAAUUAG
rnacentral:lncRNA from 1 species